rnacentral:rRNA from 1 species
UGGGGAAUAUUGGACAAUGGGGGCAACCCUGAUCCAGCAAUGCCGCGUGUGUGAAGAAGGCCUGCGGGUUGUAAAGCACUUUUAGUGAUGAGGAAGGGAUUACGUCGAAUAGGCAUAAUUUUUGACGUUAGUCGCAGAAAAAGCACCGGCUAACUCUGUGCCAGCAGCCGCGGUAAUACAGAGGGUGCGAGCGUUAAUCGGAAUGACUGGGCGUAAAGGGUGCGUAGGUGGCUGAUUAAGUUAGUUGUGAAAUCCCCGGGCUUAACCUGGGAACUGCAAUUAAUACUGGUUAGCUAGAGUUUAGGAGAGGAUAGUGGAAUUUCCGGUGUAGCGGUGAAAUGCGUAGAUAUCGGAAGGAACACCAGUGGCGAAGGCGACUAUCUGGCCUAGAACUGACACUGAGGCACGAAAGCGUGGGUAGCGAACAGGAUUAGAUACCCAAGUAGUCCCUGAGCGGGCUGGCAAGGCGCAU